rnacentral:rRNA from 1 species
GACUACCGGGGUAUCUAAUCCUGUUUGCUCCCCACGCUUUCGUGCAUGAGCGUCAGUACAGGUCCAGGGGAUUGCCUUCGCCAUCGGUGUUCCUCCGCAUAUCUACGCAUUUCACUGCUACACGCGGAAUUCCAUCCCCCUCUACCGUACUCUAGCUAUACAGUCUCAAAUGCAGGUCCCAGGUUGAGCCCGGGGAUUUCACAUCUGACUUAUAUAACCGCCUGCGCACGCUUUACGCCCAGUAAUUCCGAUUAACGCUUGCACCCUACGUAUUACCGCGGCUGCUGGCACGUAGUUAGCCGGUGCUUAUUCUUACGGUACCGUCAUGAGCCCCAGGUAUUAACCAGAGCCUUUUCGUUCCGUACAAAAGCAGUUUACAACCCGAAGGCCUUCAUCCUGCACGCGGCAUUGCUGGAUCAGGCUUGCGCCCAUUGUCCAAAAUUCCCCACUGCAGCCCCCCGUAGG